rnacentral:tRNA from 2 species
CGCGGGGUGGAGCAGCCCGGUAGCUCGUCAGGCUCAUAACCUGAAGGUCGUAGGUUCAAAUCCUACCCCCGCCACCA